CCCCCCGUGGCUCCCAGGGUGCCCCGCGCGAGGCCGGCCGGGAGGGGCUGUCUUCCGGCGGAAGCUGCUGCGAAGCCAGCACCAGCAUCCUCGAGCCGGCGCGUCUCCCUAUCGUUGGAAAUGGGGUCUCUGACCUCUGCGCUGUGCCCCUCCACCUCCCCAACGCCCAGAGACCCAAAGGGCGAAGGUUGAGGGUGGGGUGGCAGCCCAGCCACUGUCCUGCCUGUAAACCAGUCUCUCUGCCCCUCAUCUACAGAAAUUGGCCUGCAAAAAAUUUUGGAGAUAUCUUGUAUUUUUUUCUAAUCCUGGUAAAAUGGAGGACAUCAGCAGAAGUUGGAGCAUAUCUAAGUUGUAAAAUGGACAUAAGGACAUCACCAAUAAGCUGGACUCCAGAAAUCUCUGUCUAGGAUUUUAUUAGACUGCUUUUCUCCCCCCAAUAUACCUGUUUCGGAAGAUUGAGACAAAAAGGCACAAACUCACAUUAAAUAAACAAGGUAAUCUAA